GGCUAAAGACUUUAAUGUUAUGUCGGGGCGUGGGCGUCGGUUCAGGUGGAUAGCUAAGGCUGGACGGAAGAGGACGGCCUCGUUUAGGGGCGGAGGGCCGUGCGGUACCGGCCGCUCUACGGACAGCGGCUACCUUUCCGGCCAAGGUGGACGUUGUGGUGGUUGGUAGCGCCGUGGAAAACCAGGAGCAGGCGGACGCCGCCCAAGAGCGCCGGCCGCCAGGACCAAGGAGUUCGGCCGCGGCGGUGGUGCACCCUAAGCUGACGGGUUGUGGUGGGCGACGGCGGCUGGAGGAGGCACCACCGAUGGACGGGGACAUUCCAGUCUUCGAGAACGAUGGACAGCGGCGGUGGGAUCGGGAUGUUGUAUCAUGAUUGCGAAUACCCAGACCCUGGAGGCCCUCACAGUCGUACCGUGCUGGACCGACGGGUUUUUUCACACCGUUACAGUCGUAAGACAUGGGUAAGCCGUGUCCUUUUCCGACGAAGGUUCUUGGGAAAUCACGGUGUACGUUACUCUGGCCCCGUAUAGACCGGAGUUGGCUUCAAUCCCAUGGCCUCUAGUCAGAAUGAGAACCACUCCAAGCACAAGUCUUGGGUGUGUAUAGUAGCGCUACGUUGAUAUGGUUGCCGUGGUUAUCGUGACCAAAGCUGCGGAAUUACGAACUAGGAAAAGUAUUUGAAAGGUUGUGGUUCUUGUUCAACUGUAGUUAACCCACACGAUACGAACGUUACCAACAGCCUGAGUGAUUCUCGUUCUUCGUCUAACUCAUGGGGUGGCGGCCGUGUACGAAAAGUAAGACGUAACUACGUUCAUCAUAGCUUCUACCAAGUCUCACGAGACCGAACCCAACGACGGUCCGGGGACACAGUCCUUUACAGUCGAGUAAUCAGUGGAAUAGGAAUGGUCAUGGUCUCAAAAUGUUGAGAUGGUAGGUCAGAAAGUCAAGGACGUCGAUGAGUAAGCAAAGACUCUUCCUGACCAAGUUCAAACUAGCAAGGAUACAAUUGAGAUGUUCCAAGCGUUCAUGUGUAUGUCUACCCCAAGGAAACCAUGAGCUAACCCAACAACCAUUACGUUCGACAAGUCUUCGGUGGUUCUACCCUAGUGUCAUACGGACAGUUCGGUACUUAUCACUUACAUAACUACACAGGUUACCGGGACCAAUGGCGACGUUGACGAGAGUUCCGGAUACUCCCGUUAGGGAUGGAUGUUCCUCCCACGGUUCUGUAGUUACUCACACAUGGAGGUUUGGUCAGUAACAUAGGAACGUUUCCAUUAACGUACUUGUGGCACCCCUCGAUGUUGACAAACACGGGUAGUCCUAAGUCUUCACUACUAGGUUUCUCGUAUGGGACGCAAGCUCGACUGGGUUUGUUUUGGGACUUCUAUUAGAAUCCGUAUAGACGAUCGUAGUAGAAGGAGUACCAAACGUACAAACGAGAUGCCCGACUUAUAGUCUUUUGCUUCGACCGUUUUCUCUUCCUUUCUAAGAAGCUAGUCUUACUACCAGUCUAUGACAUGGUAGUUUAAUACAGUUUUGUUCAGCUAUGUAACUUCUAUAAGUGCGUCCUACUAGACUUCUUCCGAUGUUUGCUAAAACUGUUCUCGUCUCUUCACCCGUUCCCCCCAGUGCCGUGACAGAUGUUCCCGUAAGAAUUCCUAUUGUUCCUUCAUCGGCACUUUGCGAGUUUCUAGUACUUGCACCGGCUUUGACUGCUCAAACACGUCCUCUAAUAAUAUGAAAGUGUUUGGUUGGUGGCUUUACACCAGUCCGAAAAUCCCACGACGAAUCUCCACCUUCAAGGCUACGACCAGAUACUUAAGUAGGGCUUACCGUGAGAGAAAGUAAAAUAGGUAGCAUUGAUGCCUUCAGCUGGAGGGAGUGACCUGUGGGCAGAAUCCCAGCGAGUUCUUAGACGACUUCGUGACCGCAUAGACGUAGACAGGUGCUUGGCGGGAUAUCAUGUGCCUCUACAAUUCAGAUACUUGUAAGAGAACCUGCUCUUGAUGUACCGCUUUCACUGGCUGAAACCCCGCAGUUCCUACGAGGGGUUCCUACUCCAAGUCAAGUACUGUAACCACGUCCCGUGGUACCCAAUGGACCUGGGACUCAUGGACGUCCUCGCCUUCGAUUGUCUCUUCUCGCUGCAAAUGUCGAAACCGCAACACGACGACCUUGACUAGUGCCCCUUUUGUCGGUAGAUGGUGCUGCCGAGGUACCUUCGGUUCUUGGAGCGCAGCAGGAAGGACGAGCGUUACUUCCUACCCUCGGAACUACCGUAGGACCUACGUUCGUAUCAACCACAGCCGAACCUCUACGACGACCCUCUUUAGCGGCUUGACUGCUCCUACACGAACUCGUGGUACCCCCUUCUCUCUGGAAGGUACUGGGUCCACCGACUGUUCGAUUUCCGAGACGCUUCGCGUACCUCCCUCUUUGACCACGAACUGGUACCGUUUCGUCUCACAGACCAGUUCAAGAGGAGUGGACGUCACGAAGAACUAGGAGGUAGUAGCUCGUGCAAGAGUUGUCCCGGGGUGUACAGACCUUAUCCAUAUCUCUGUGGGUCCACUAUCAAAGUCAAUAAUAAAUAAUGUGAUGCGCUCAUCAUAACGUUUCUUCUCUCUCUCUCUCUCUCUCUCUCACACACACACACACACACAUGCACAAUCUCCGGACCUCGAAGGUCACAUAAUGGUCAUAAACAGUACAUAAACGCCAUGGUUUAUAAUUCAUCUUCUUCAACCUUAACCAAUAAUCUUGUAAAUACAGGAUCAAAACCAAUAAAACCAAUGCAUUAUAAACUGGAAGUAGUAGAAAACACAACGAACGACGAAAAAUAAGUACGGAAAACCGUCAACGUAACAUUACUAAACAUUAUUAAAACUCUCAUUUUACAUAGACGUCAGUAGUCUAAUCACAUGUCUCGUCAUAGGCUAGUGAAUGUC
rnacentral:rRNA from 1 species